GUGUAUUUAACGCGAACGUCCAUCUUUGAGGGUCUCUUUUUUCACUUCAACACAUCAGGAGCACAUGCAGUACAUUGCUUGCAAAGGGGUCUCCGCUAGAGUAAUCAUGGCCAAGUGCCUUGACGCGAACAAACUUGGACAACAGUACAACGAUGAUUGCGGGUGAAGAUGGUUUGAAGUGCUGCUGUAAAACGUGCACAUAGCCCACUUGACCGGAAAAUUACACUCAUGACAGCUGAACGUGCUUCAUGAAGUUGUCGGUGACCAUGGAAUAAGAUUCAUCCACAAAGAACUCAUGGAAAAACUCUUGUGUUGCAACGAGCGUGUUGUUGCCACAAAUCCCAGGGUGUGACAUGGAGCGAGGUGGCUGUUUCAGAAAACUCCAAUCACUCGACCUUGCAUUCAUUGGGCUUUAAUAUGGAUAAAUACACACUAUAAAAUACAGUGAUAAUCCUAUUCAUUGCAAUAGCAACUUGUAAAAUAAGGUAGCGAUAGCAUUUGCUUCUAAAUUCAUGCUGGUUUAACAUUUUUGCAAUUUCAAGUGAUCACAAAAUAAAUCUGUGAAACAUGGGGUAGGCGCUAACAAGCAAUAGCCUAUGCCAUUUAUGCUUCUGUGUAAUACCAGAUGUAAACUGUCCAAAUAAACUACGUUUGGAUUGAAUAUUCAAUAAAUGAUGACGUGGAAUAAACUAA